GAAGCUAAGUCACACUGCUGAUAAGAGACCAACUUGAAAGAGGGAGGAUCUGCUAAUAGCUAACACCACAACUCCAGAUAUACGGGAGUCAGACUAUAGGGCAAAAAUUGGGGGCCACAGAAUGCUUGCUCAAUCAACUUUGCUCAUCCCAAAUUACAAAAAUCGCCUCAAAAAAUGUUGAUGAUAAUUUAAUUUUCUUCACUCUCCAUGAAGAUGUUAGAUAAUGCUCACUCUGGGCAAGGAUAAAAGGAAGACUCAUCAA